CAUGUCUAAGUAUAAGCAAUUUAUACAGUGAAACUGCGAAUGGCUCAUUAAAUCAGUUAUCGUUUAUUUGAUCGUACCUUUACUACUUGGAUAACCGUGGUAAUUCUAGAGCUAAUACAUGCUUAAAAUCCCAACUUCGGAAGGGAUGUAUUUAUUAGAUAAAAAAUCAAUGCUUUUCGGAGCUCUUUGAUGAUUCAUAAUAACUUUUCGAAUCGCAUGGCCUUGUGCCGGCGAUGGUUCAUUCAAAUUUCUGCCCUAUCAACUUUCGAUGGUAGGAUAGUGGCCUACCAUGGUUUCAACGGGUAACGGGGAAUAAGGGUUCGAUUCCGGAGAGGGAGCCUGAGAAACGGCUACCACAUCCAAGGAAGGCAGCAGGCGCGCAAAUUACCCAAUCCCGAUACGGGGAGGUAGUGACAAUAAAUAACGAUAUAGGGCCCUUCGGGUCUUAUAAUUGGAAUGAGUACAAUGUAAAUACCUUAACGAGGAACAAUUGGAGGGCAAGUCUGGUGCCAGCAGCCGCGGUAAUUCCAGCUCCAAAAGCGUAUAUUAAAGUUGUUGCAGUUAAAAAGCUCGUAGUUGAACUUUGGGCUUGGUUAGCCGGUCCGCUUUUUGCGAGUACUGACCUAACCGAGCCUUUCCUUCUGGCUAACCUUCUCCUCCGGGAGUUGGCGAACCAGGACUUUUACUUUGAAAAAAUUAGAGUGUUCAAAGCAGGCCUUUGCUCGAAUAUAUUAGCAUGGAAUAAUAGAAUAGGACGUUAUGGUUCUAUUUUGUUGGUUUCUAGGACCAUCGUAAUGAUUAAUAGGGAUGGACAGGGGAAUUAGUAUUCAAUAGUCAGAGGUGAAAUUCUUGGAUUUAUUGAAGACUAACUACUGCGAAAGCAUUUUCCAGGCACACUCCUGCUAAUCAAGAACGAAAGUUAGGGGAUCGAAGAUGAUCAGAUACCGUCGUAGUCUUAACCAUAAACUAUGCCGACUAGGGAUCGGGUGGUGUUCUUUUUUUGACGCACUCGGCACCUUACGAGAAAUCAAAGUCUUUGGGUUCUGGGGGGGAGUAUGGUCGCAAGGCUGAAACUUAAAGGAAUUGACGGAAGG
rnacentral:rRNA from 2 species